rnacentral:rRNA from 1 species
GAUGAACGCUGGCGGCGUGCUUAAUACAUGCAAGUCGAACGGAAAGACCAUGCUUUUGUGGGUUGCUCGUGUGCCGAGCGCGUGAGUAAAACGUGUGUAACCUCCCCUUGUCUUUGGGAUAUCUUCUCGAGACUGGGGCUAAUACAGGAUAGGAGCUCUUGCUGCAUGGUGGGGGUUGGAGAGUGUCGGCGGUUGGGGAUGGACUCGCGGCUUAUCAGCUUGUUUGUGGGGUAGUGGCUUACCAAGCGUUUGACGGGUAGCCGGCCUGAGAGGGUGAACGGGGACAUGGCGACUGAGAGACGGCGCAGACUCGAAUGGGAGGCAGCAGGGGGGAAUAUUGCACAAUGAGCGGAAGCCUGAUGCAGCAAUGCCGCGUGCGGGAUGAUGGCUUUCGGGUGAUAAACCGCUUUCGCCGGUGAUGAAGCGUGAGUGACGGUAAUGAGUAAAGAAGCAACGGCUAACUACGUG